rnacentral:rRNA from 1 species
CGUUGUCCGGAUUAUUGGGCGUAAAGAGCUUGUAGGCGGUUUGUCGCGUCUGCUGUGAAAGGCCGGAGCUUAACUCCGUGUAUUGCAGUGGGUACGGGCAGACUAGAGUGCAGUAGGGGAGACUGGAAUUCCUGGUGUAGCGGUGGAAUGCGCAGAUAUCAGGAGGAACACCGAUGGCGAAGGCAGGUCUCUGGGCCAUAACUGACGCUGAGGAGCGAAAGCUAGGGGAGCAAACAGGAUUAGAUACCCUGGUAGUCCUAGCUGUAAACGAUGGACACUAGGUGUGGGAGAAUACGUCUUCCGUGCCGCAGCUAACGCAUUAAGUGUCCCGCCUGGGGAGUACGGCCGCAAGGCUAAAACUCAAAGGAAUUGACGGGGACCCGCACAAGCAGCGGAGCAUGUGGUUUAAUUCGAAGCAACGCGAAGAACCUUACCAGGGCUUGACAUGUAGGUGAAGCGGCGGAAACGUCGUGGCCGAAAGGAGCCUACACAGGUGGUGCAUGGCUGUCGUCAGCUCGUGUCGUGA